UACGAAGGGGGCUAGCGUUGCUCGGAAUCACUGGGCGUAAAGGGUGCGUAGGCGGGUCUUUUAAGUCAGGGGUGAAAUCCUGGAGCUCAACUCCAGAACUGCCUUUGAUACUGGCGAUCUCGAGUCCGGGAGAGGUGAGUGGAACUGCGAGUGUAGAGGUGAAAUUCGUAGAUAUUCGCAAGAACACCAGUGGCGAAGGCGGCUCACUGGCCCGGUACUGACGCUGAGGUGCGAAAGCGUGGGGAGCAAACAGGG
rnacentral:rRNA from 1 species